UACGGAAGGGGCAAGCGUUGUUCGGAAUCAUUGGGCGUAAAGGGCGCGUAGGUGGUUCUGUAUGUCUACCGUGAAAGCGUACGGCUCAACCGUAUUUUGUCGGUGGAAACUGCAGGACUUGAGGCUGGGAGGGGCUGGUGGAAUUCCCUGUGUAGCGGUGAAAUGCGUAGAUAUUGGGAAGAACACCGGUGGCGAAGGCGGCGCUCUGGACCGAGACUGACGCUGAGGCGCGAAAGCGUGGGAGCAAACAGG
rnacentral:rRNA from 1 species